GAUGAACGCUGGCGGCGUGCCUAAUACAUGCAAGUCGAGCGAACAGACGAGGAGCUUGCUCCUCUGACGUUAGCGGCGGACGGGUGAGUAACACGUGGAUAACCUACCUAUAAGACUGGGAUAACUUCGGGAAACUGGAGCUAAUACCGGAUAACAUGUUGAACCGCAUGGUUCAACAGUGAAAGACGGUCUUGCUGUCACUUAUAGAUGGAUCCGCGCCGCAUUAGCUAGUUGGUAAGGUAACGGCUUACCAAGGCAACGAUGCGUAGCCGACCUGAGAGGGUGAUCGGCCACACUGGAACUGAGACACGGUCCAGACUCCUACGGGAGGCAGCAGUAGGGAAUCUUCCGCAAUGGGCGAAAGCCUGACGGAGCAACGCCGCGUGAGUGAAGAAGGUCUUCGGAUCGUAAAACUCUGUUAUUAGGGAAGAACAAAUGUGUAAGUAACUAUGCACGUCUUGACGGUACCUAAUCAGAAAGCCACGGCUAACUACGUG
rnacentral:rRNA from 1 species